UUUGAAAAAAAUUCUCAUCUGCUAUACUGAAUUACUGUAUGGGACACUUCUAAUAUAAAGACCUAAGUGCUAUAUAUAGUCCUGGCCAGUGUGACUCAAUUGGUUGGGGGCCCUCUCAUGCAGGAAGAGGUUAUCAGAUUCCCAGUCAGGGCAGUGCCUAGGGUUGCAGGCUUGAUCCCCAAUACAGGACAUGCAGGAGGCAGCUGAUGGUUAUUCCUCUCCUUUCCCUUCCUCUCUCUCAAAUCAACAAAAACAUAUUUUUUUUAAAAAAAAAAAACAAGUGCUAUAGAUAUGUCAAACAUCAUUCACGGAAAGGCAAAAUACCUAUCAUCUUCCAUCUGAAUUGCCGAUGAUUCUUUGGUUACAUUUUUAAUGGCAAAUGUUACAUGUUUUGUAAAAACUGCACUUGAACUAAUUUACAGUUCAGACGUACUACUAAGCUUAGUUUCUAACUUUUUCCCCCCAGUAAACCUAUUUGUCUUACCUGUCUGUUUCAAAUUCUUCAGGGUAUAACUCUUUAUAACCACUGUGACCCCAUCUGUAAGAUGACAUUUUAUUAAACAUAUCGUUAAAGCAGUGCAUAUGUUUUUGAAAAUUAAAUUAGACAGACUUAGGAAUGUAUGCACACACAGA